GAGUUUGAUCAUGGCUCAGAUUGAACGCUGGCGGCAUGCCUUACACAUGCAAGUCGAACGGCAGCAUGAUCUAGCUUGCUAGAUUGAUGGCGAGUGGCGAACGGGUGAGUAAUACAUCGGAACGUGCCCUGUAGUGGGGGAUAACUAGUCGAAAGAUUAGCUAAUACCGCAUACGACCUGAGGGUGAAAGUGGGGGACCGCAAGGCCUCAUGCUAUAGGAGCGGCCGAUGUCUGAUUAGCUAGUUGGUGGGGUAAAGGCCCACCAAGGCGACGAUCAGUAGCUGGUCUGAGAGGACGAUCAGCCACACUGGGACUGAGACACGGCCCAGACUCCUACGGGAGGCAGCAGUGGGGAAUUUGGACAAUGGCGAAAGCCUGAUCCAGUAAUGCCGCGUGUGUGAAGAAGG
rnacentral:rRNA from 1 species